UACGUAGGUGGCAAGCGUUAUCCGGAAUUAUUGGGCGUAAAGCGCGCGCAGGCGGUUUCUUAAGUCUGAUGUGAAAGCCCACGGCUCAACCGUGGAGGGUCAUUGGAAACUGGGGAACUUGAGUGCAGAAGAGAAAAGCGGAAUUCCACGUGUAGCGGUGAAAUGCGUAGAGAUGUGGAGGAACACCAGUGGCGAAGGCGGCUUUUUGGUCUGUAACUGACGCUGAGGCGCGAAGGCGUGGGGAGCAAACAGG
rnacentral:rRNA from 1 species